CACGUAGGGCGCAAGCGUGGUCCGGAAUUAUUGGGCGUAAAGAGCGUGUAGGCGGCCAGAUAGGUCUGCUGUGAAAACUCGAGGCUCAACCUCGAGAUGUCGGCGGAAACCAUUUGGCUAGAGUCCGGAAGAGGGAAGUGGAAUUCCUGGUGUAGCGGUGAAAUGCGCAGAUAUCAGGAAGAACACCCGUGGCGAAGGCGGCUUUCUGGGACGGUACUGACGCUGAGACGCGAAAGCGUGGGGAGCGAACAGG
rnacentral:rRNA from 1 species